rnacentral:rRNA from 1 species
UGCAGUCGAGCGGGGGAGGUAGCUUGCUACUGGACCUAGCGGCGGACGGGUGAGUAAUACUUAGGAAUCUGCCUAUUAGUGGGGGACAACGUUCCGAAAGGAGCGCUAAUACCGCAUACGCCCUACGGGGGAAAGCAGGGGAUCUUCGGACCUUGCGCUAAUAGAUGAGCCUAAGUCGGAUUAGCUAGUUGGUGGGGUAAAGGCCUACCAAGGCGACGAUCUGUAGCGGGUUUGAGAGGAUGAUCCGCCACACUGGGACUGAGACACGGCCCAGACUCCUACGGGAGGCAGCAGUGGGGAAUAUUGGACAAUGGGCGCAAGCCUGAUCCAGCCAUGCCGCGUGUGUGAAGAAGGCCUUAUGGUUGUAAAGCACUUUAAGCGAGGAGGAGGCUUACCUAGCUAAUACCUAGGAUAAGUGGACGUUACUCGCAGAAUAAGCACCGGCUAACUCUGUGCCAGCAGCCGCGGUAAUACAGAGGGUGCAAGCGUUAAUCGGAAUUACUGGGCGUAAAGCGCGCGUAGGUGGCCAUUUAAGUCAAAUGUGAAAUCCCCGAGCUUAACUUGGGAAUUGCAUUCGAUACUGGAUGGCUAGAGUAUAGGAGAGGAAGGUAGAAUUCCAGGUGUAGCGGUGAAAUGCGUAGAGAUCUGGAGGAAUACCGAU